UGAAAGGGCAGACUAAAGAACACAGGUCAGAGCUCAAGGAUGCUGCAGAAUGCCUUGGAGGUGCAUCUUAAUAAUGCCGCUUCCCACAGAGGCCAGAGAUGGGAUCAGACAUCUUGACGAGAAGGUGACCAGUUCUGCUCAGCCUUGUGCUCCCACCAAAGUGUUCACUACAGGCCCCAAACCACCACCAACCAGCGAUGGACAGAAAUGUCUGCAUCUGUGAGCCAAGAUGGAAAUGGACAUUUCCUCUUUGUAAGUUCCUUGUCUAGGUCUUUGUGACAAUGGCAGAAAGCUGACCAACACAUGUCAGUGAGCACAGACUUACAGCAUUGCUUUUAAAGACUAGUAGUCCAUUGUACAUUUACUCAACCACCCCCAUCAUUUCAAACAGUUCUUACACGCUCUUGAUUGUUUUUUGAAAAGGCAAUAAAUCUUAUUGACUGGCUUCGUAA